GGGUCCGUCGGUUAAUUGGCAAACCACUGGUCUCCAAAACCAGAACUGCAGGUUCGAGUCCUGCCGGACCCG
rnacentral:tRNA from 1 species